rnacentral:rRNA from 1 species
AGCGAACGCUGGCGGCAGGCCUAACACAUGCAAGUCGAACGAACUCUUCGGAGUUAGUGGCGGACGGGUGAGUAACACGUGGGAACGUGCCUUUAGGUUCGGAAUAACUCAGGGAAACUUGUGCUAAUACCGAAUGUGCCCUUCGGGGGAAAGAUUUAUCGCCUUUAGAGCGGCCCGCGUCUGAUUAGCUUGUUGGUUGGGUAAUGGCCCACCAAGGCGACGAUCAGUAGAUGGUCUGAGAGGAUGACCAGCAACAUUGGGACUGAGACACGGCCCAAACUCCUACGGGAGGCAGCAGUGGGGAAUCUUGCGCAAUGGGCGAAAGCCUGACGCAGCCAUGCCGCGUGGAUGAUGAAGGUCUUAGGAUUGUAAAAUCCUUUCACCGGUGAAGAUAAUGACUGUAGCCGGAGAAGAAGCCCCGGCUAACUUCGUGCCAGCCGCCGCCGUAA